CUUCUCUGUGCCUGUUCUUCCAUCACUUAUUUAUUUUCUAAGAUUUUAGACGUCUUUGAUAUUUCAGGGUCUUCCAUUUUUCAAUGACACAAGAGUUUAACCGAGUAAGUGUUUUUAUGUCGUUGUUGUUUUGGGUUUAUUUUAUGUCUCGCUGUGUUUUUGCCAUUUCUACUCUAGCAACUCUUCAGGUCUUGUCAGUAUUAUUAGGCAGGCUACCAUAGACUCGUUGCACAUGAAAAUAACAUAAAGUAAAUUACACAGUACGAUGGCAAGAUAAAUACAAACUCUAUAGUGCAUAUUUUCACAUUAUCUCGCCAGAUUGCACUAAGAUAUUAAAAUAAAGAUAUUGUCUAAGUUCAGUGCCAAAGCCUGUAAUAAUUCCUUAUCUACCUGAAAUUGAUGACACACAUAUUUGAUCUGUAUGUCAAGACAAAAAAUGACCAGUGAGCUGUAGCAUUUCUGUCAGAUACCCUUUCUGCGUUAUGUGCUACUGAUUUUUGUUGAAACCUACCACAUUAUUUGGAUUUUUUUUGCUACCGAUCAUUGCUCAUUGGGAUGAUUUUCAUUUUUAGUUGAAUAUAACACCCUAUAUCCCAUAGUGCACUACUCUUGACCUGAGCUAACCCAGAGCUAACUAACCCAAUGUGGCUCUGGUCAAAAGUAGAGCGCUAUAUGGGAAAUAAGGUAUCAUUUGAUACCUGUGAUGAGCUUCUGUCUACUAGACUGCUUCGUAUGUCAAUGUAUCUUCAACUGAUAAAUAUAUUAUAUGAUUUAUUCCCAUUGUUUGUUACGUUAUCCUUUGAGGAAUACAGCCUUCCUUGGACGAUAACAGUCACUAGAUAACUCUUCCUCCAAUCACAAUCCUUCAGGUGCCACAAUGUUGGAGGAGGAAGACGUGUUCUCAAAAUAUUGAAUAUGAAUUAUUAUUAAUGAACUGUCAAAAUUAGCCUGGCAAAUAAUGAUAUAUUGAUGAGUCAAAAAAAAAUGUUUAUUUGUUUCAUUGUGUUUUUUGUUGAUAUUUUGUUUGGUUUAUGUCUGUUCAACUGCCAUUUUUCAGUUUAUUGUUUGGAGGGGUUUUCUGAGGAGGAGGAGAAGAAAGAGCAAUGGAUCGUCAGUUUCAAGUUAUUUGUAGUACACUUCACCUGGUAAUCAUGGAAACUGCAUGGUACCUUAUGGCACUUAUGGCACAAAUUCCAAAAGAAUCGGCUACUAUUUGGUUUCAAAGGAUCCGUAGUUGUGCUAAUCGCUGAAAUGACUGCCACUGUUAUUGGUAACAAAGAAACAAAAUACCAAAAAGUCACCAUGUAGUUUCUAUGUAAAUACCAGGUAGGUGGUGUUCUGUAAAAACAUGCUACCGAUCGUUUCUGUGUCCUGUUUUUGAACCAUGUAGUCUUGAUGGCAUGACCUUACAUCUGAUCUGUUAAUAUGGAGACCGACUUCCGUAGGUGCGUUCUGUAUUUCCUUGACGUGUAUUCAUAUUGCCAAAGACAAACUACUUCAUCAAUUCAUGUAAAUAUCACCUUGUCCAUUACUAUGACGAAAGUAUGUUUGUUUAAAAAAAAAAUGGUUUUGUUUUUCCGAAGAAAACAAAAAGCUAACAUAAAGUUUCUGUGUUGUAUUGUCUUCCAGUUGCAAUAAAAGAAAACCGCAUUGCAAAAAGUUA
rnacentral:lncRNA from 1 species